UACGAAGGGGGCUAGCGUUGUUCGGAAUCACUGGGCGUAAAGCGCACGUAGGCGGAUGUGUCAGUCUGGGGUGAAAUCCCGGAGCUCAACUCCGGAACUGCCUCUGAUACAGCACGUCUUGAGUUCGAGAGAGGUGGGUGGAAUUCCUAGUGUAGAGGUGAAAUUCGUAGAUAUUAGGAAGAACACCGGUGGCGAAGGCGGCCCACUGGCUCGAUACUGACGCUGAGGUGCGAAAGCGUGGGGAGCAAACAGG
rnacentral:rRNA from 1 species